rnacentral:rRNA from 1 species
AACGAACGCUGGCGGCAUGCCUAACACAUGCAAGUCGAACGAGACCUUCGGGUCUAGUGGCGCACGGGUGCGUAACGCGUGGGAACCUGCCCUUAGGUUCGGAAUAACUCCCCGAAAGGGGUGCUAAUACCGGUUAAUGUCUUCGGACCUAAGAUUUAUCGCCUUUGGAUGGGCCCGCGUUGGAUUAGCUAGUUGGUAGGGUAAAAGCCUACCAAGGCGACGAUCCAUAGCUGGUCUGAGAGGAUGAUCAGCCACACUGGGACUGAGACACGGCCCAGAAUCCUACGGGAGGCAGCGGUGGGGAAUAUUGGACAAUGGGCGAAAGCCUGAUCCAGCAAUGCCGCGUGAGUGAUGAAGGCCUUAGGGUUGUAAAGCUCUUUUACCCGGGAUGAUAAUGACAGUACCGGGAGAAUAAGCACCGGCUAACUCCGUG